rnacentral:rRNA from 1 species
CCUGGAAACGGGGUCUAAUACCGGAUACSAGCCUCCAAGGCAUCUUGGAGGUUGGAAAGCUCCGGCGGUGAAGGAUGAGCCCGCGGCCUAUCAGCUUGUUGGUGAGGUAAUGGCUCACCAAGGCGACGACGGGUAGCCGGCCUGAGAGGGCGACCGGCCACACUGGGACUGAGACACGGCCCAGACUCCUACGGGAGGCAGCAGUGGGGAAUAUUGCACAAUGGGCGAAAGCCUGAUGCAGCGACGCCGCGUGAGGGAUGACGGCCUUCGGGUUGUAAACCUCUUUCAGCAGGGAAGAAGCGCAAGUGACGGUACCUGCAGAAGAAGCGCCGGCUAACUACGUGCCAGCAGCCGCGGUAAUACGUAGGGCGCAAGCGUUGUCCGGAAUUAUUGGGCGUAAAGAGCUCGUAGGCGGCUUGUCACGUCGAUUGUGAAAGCCCGAGGCUUAACCUCGGGUCUGCAGUCGAUACGGGCUAGCUAGAGUGUGGUAGGGGAGAUCGGAAUUCCUGGUGUAGCGGUGAAAUGCGCAGAUAUCAGGAGGAACACCGGUGGCGAAGGCGGAUCUCUGGGCCAUUACUGACGCUGAGGAGCGAAAGCGUGGGGAGCGAACAGGAUUAGAUACCCUGGUAGUCCACGCCGUAAACGGUGGGAACUAGGUGUUGGCGACAUUCCACGUCGU